rnacentral:rRNA from 1 species
AUUGAACGCUGGCGGCAGGCCUAACACAUGCAAGUCGAGCGGAGCGGCGGACGGGUGAGUGAUACCUAGGAAUCUGCCUGGUAGUUGGGGAGGACGUCCGGAAACGGGCGCUAAUACCGCAUACUCUCAGAUGAGCCUAGGUCGGAUUAGCUAGUGGGUGGGGUAAAGGCCUACCAAGGCGACGAUCCGUAACUGGUCUGAGAGGAUGAUCAGUCACACUGGAACUGAGACACGGUCCAGACUCCUACGGGAGGCAGCAGUGGGGAAUAUUGGGCAAUGGGCGAAAGCCUGACCCAGCCAUGCCGCGUGAGUGAAGAAGGGCUUCGGAUUGUAAAGCACUUUAAGUAGGGAGGCGUUACCAACAGAAGAAGCACCGGCUAACUCCGUGCCAGCAGCCGCGGUAAUUC